rnacentral:tRNA from 1 species
GGAGAGGUGCCGGAGUGGGCGAACGGGCACCCCUGCUAAGGGUCGCGGGGCCGGUGACGGCCCUCAUGGGUUCGAAUCCCAUCCUCUCCGCCA